rnacentral:lncRNA from 1 species
CAGGACCUUGCCUCCAUGCCUAUCCUGUCAGCCAAGAGUUUAUGAUUGCAGAGGCAUUAGGGCCUUUGUUGGCAGGACUGGGGACUGGGGUUCAGCCUUGAGGUUGUGGUUGGUGUGAUAGGAUGAGCUUAUGACAUGAUUCACCACCACAGUGUUCAUGGCUGGGGAAGCAUUUGUCCCAUUCCUGGUGUAAUUGGUGUGGGUGAGGCUGGAGUCCAAGUCUUGCAACUGCCUGGAGUUGAUUGCCUUGCAUACUUAGCAGUGGCUGUUUUCCGUGGAUAUUUGCAGGAGAUCCAUUCCUUUUUGGAAGACGGCCUGUACAGAAUGACCAGACACAAGGUGCAGAGCUUUAAAGGCUUACGGAGUCUAAACACCAAAUGGGAUGAUGGAGAACAGCUAUCCAGUGGUACAAAUGUAAAUGCUCCCAGGCCAGGUGGGUGAUUUAAAUGAGUGAAGUAGGGCAAAGUGUAAUUGCCUAAGUAGACAUUUGCUGACUCCACAUACCACUAGGGGACUAUACUUACUCCUGGCAGAAAAACAGUCCAUUCUAGACUAUUGUUGCAUACCAGAAGGCUAACUGAAAGUGAGGGGCCACGCUAACCUUUCAGGAAAAUCCAUCAGUCUUGAUUUUUAUGUAGUGUUUCCAAAAUGCUUUUGUUUUGGCUCAUUUGGUGAGCAGCCUACUCAUCUCCAGUUUGGUACUUUUAAUCUACUCUAAUCACACAUCUGGUAGUUGUAGAAACCAGGCCCAGAGAAGUUAAGCGUCUUGUUGAAAGUCCUGCAGCAAAGGAUAACACUGUGUCUCAAACCCAG